UCUUCUCCCCUUCUCUCCUUCGCCUCACCUUUAUCCUCAGAAGCUAAACCGAUCCCAACAGUCCUUGAUCAGAUCUUUCCCUCUUCCUCUUGCUCUCAAAAUCUUUAUUAUCUCUCCUUCUUCUUUCCUUCCAACUCUUUGAUUUUAUUCUUGAAUAUUACUUCAACUUUUUUAUUUUUUUUCUUUAUUCUCAUGUUUACUGCGCCUGCCUGCCGUCCCCAAUUCCCCACUCAACUCGCCACACCGGCUACUACGACCAAUUUGUCAUGUCUCCCAGCUCCGGACGUCACAGAAUUUAAAAGCUACCAGUUGCCACUUUCUGCUGGUCCCUAGGCUUUUCUUUUCUAUCCACAGCACUCCACCCGUCCAUCCGGCCCAAGCUUACAGCUAGAUGAAGGAACAAAGCAUAGGCCUCCACUACCCGUGCCAACUGCCUAUUUGUUCCGUGUUUUCAUUUAACAUUUGAAGCUUCAAACCCUGUAAACGAUACCUAACCUUUUCCACAAUCGUCUUUUAUUUUCGUUCCUUGGCUGAGAGACUGCCGACUUUGUCUUGGCUGGGAUUACUUUUGAUUUGUUGACUUUUAUUUUUCGGUCAAAUAUAGAACCGAGAGUGAAGCAUUGACUGCUGCUUCCUCUCUAUUGUUUCAGGUACUACCUCGGUUCUUCCGUUACUUUCCGUUAAUUAGUGAUUAUUUUUCUCUCUUCUAUUUGGUUGCGUCGAUGUUUUGUCUUGUUUUUUCUGGAAUGCAGCUAGAGUGUAGAUAUGUGGUGGCCCUCUUAGAGAUGAUCUGAAAGAAAAUAUUCAAUCCCAGAUCUUCAAGCUAAAGUAGUAGAGUGAGGUUGUUGCAGUUAAGCAAUUGGAUAGAAAUAGACUCUAAGGGACCAGAGGCUACUUGUCUAUUAGUUCAUGCCCUUGGGAUCAUUGGAAGAUCAUCUUCAUGGGUUCAGCUGCAGAAAGUGCUUUCUCGGGGAUUUGAUGAAAGUUCUUGGCCACUCCAAACUAAAACCGGCAGCUUCUAGAAAUAGCUCAAGUUCCUGAUGAACAUGUGAAUGAAUUCAAGUUGAUAGGGAAGUUCAAAAUUUUCAAUCCCAACAACUUAUGGGUGAACUUGAAAGCAAUCAAAAGACUUGUACAAUAAAGUGCACUGAAGAUGGAGAUUAUUCCAAAUCCAAAGGUUUAUCAAUAUGGCAUUUCACAUUCAGUCUCCUCUCUACCAACAACCAAAGUCCGACCUGUACACUUUGUCUGAUGACGGCUAUGUGGUCUGCAACGAGGCUAGGAAAAAUCCAACUAACCCAACUAUGAAUUGGGACCUGAAUUUAAGAAGGUAGGCAACUUCUUAAGUCGUAUCAAGUCUAUUCCCAGUAUUGUUGAACUAGACAGCCUAAAGAUGAGUGGUGAUGGUGGUUUGGAUCUGGUAUCACCCUGAAGGACUGGUUCCAAAACUGAGCUUGCUCCAGUUUCAGUUUCAACAGGAUCUCGCACUGAUGCAAUACCAUAUUCUGG